GGUUAUGUAGUUUAAUCUGGUUAAAAUACCUCACUGUCACUGAGGAAGAUGAGGGUUCAAAUCCCUUCGUAACCG
rnacentral:tRNA from 1 species